GCCGAGGUGGCGGAACUGGCAGACGCGACUGACUCAAAAUCAGUUGAGGGAUGACCUCGUGCGGGUUCAACUCCCGCCCUCGGCA
rnacentral:tRNA from 1 species